UACGGGGGAUGGCGAGCGUUGUCCGGAUUCACUGGGCGUAAAGGGCGCGUAGGCGGCCCGGUCAGUCGGCGCCUCUAAGUGCGGGGCUCAACCCCGUGAUGGCGCCGGGACGGCCGGGCUGGGGCGCGGCAGAGGGAGACGGAAUGCCGGGUGUAGUGGUGAAAUGCGUAGAGAUCGGCAGGAACACCCAGGGGGAAACCAGUCGACUGGGCAUCGUACUGACGCUGAGGUGCGAGAGCGUGGGGAGCGAACCGG
rnacentral:rRNA from 1 species